AUGCUGAAUCCAGAUAAGAAUGACUACAUUUCUGUAAGUCAGAUAGAUAUCUCCAAACUGUUUCUGCACCAGCUCUCAGCUGAUUUUUGUGAGAGCUGAAGGAACGGUAGCGGGACAGAUGAACGGUUUGCUUCACAGGCCAAUGCUGAGGCAAGCUGCGGGCCCUCCAGCAGGAGAGAGUUUCUAAUUUUCACCUUUCAUCACUUAGAUUAAGCACGUGGUGUAUAUAAGUCACGAACCCACUUGCCUAGAUGACAGCUUUCCAUUUGGAGAAAUUCUCUGGGAUUAAAAAUGCUAAACAUAUUGACUCCAGUGACCAACAAAUUACCUUCUUGGAAGAGUGGACGGCUUGCACAACACUGUGCCAUGUGGUCGGACUGAAUUAAGAAGCCAUAAAGAAUAGGUCCUGAGGACUAUGUCCAGCAGCUUCAUGGUUUGCCCCGCAGCUCUUAAGCAGGUGCUUGGGCCUACCAGACUCCUUUGCCGCCGCCCCCUGCUGAGGAGACAACUAGGAAGAAGCAGGAUGGCAAGAUCCCCUUGUGCUUCCUCAAUCCCCUCUGGAACUACUCACAGCAAAGAAAGUUAUCAAAUAUUUCAAUAAUUAGACAAU